rnacentral:rRNA from 1 species
CAGCAGCCGCGGGAAUACGUAGGUGGCAAGCGUUGUCCGGAAUUAUUGGGCGUAAAGGGCUCGCAGGCGGUUUCUUAAGUCUGAUGUGAAAGCCCCCGGCUCAACCGGGGAGGGUCAUUGGAAACUGGGAAACUUGAGUGCAGAAGAGGAGAGUGGAAUUCCACGUGUAGCGGUGAAAUGCGUAGAGAUGUGGAGGAACACCAGUGGCGAAGGCGACUCUCUGGUCCGUAACUGACGCUGAGGAGCGAAAGCGUGGGGAGCGAACAGGAUUAGAUACCCCCGUAGUCCCUGUCUCUUAUAC